rnacentral:lncRNA from 1 species
CAAAAAUAAAAUGUCUGUGUUGGCAUCAGCCUCUGAGCCACGUGUUUAUCAGGUGGGCUUUCCGUAUCCUCUCUGUACCCCUCCCUGCCACCGUAGGGAUGGACGAAAACACCACCUGUACCACCGCUCCAUCCACUACUCGUCCCAGUCCCCUAAAGUCUCGUUUGAUAGCCUUCAGGCUUCUCUCUCCAAUAUUAUCACUGCCAGCCUGGACUAUCAAAAGAGGAUAGAAAUCAGAGGGGCAAACCAAGUUGGGAAGUUUUCUGGCAAUGUCCCUGACCCUGGCCCCAGGGAGGCAGCAGACUUCCCUACGGGUAGGGUCAGGUUGACAAAUAGGGCUCUCUGCGCCUCUGAGAAGGGAGUCGCCUACAAUGAUUACCCUUCUAUCUUUUUUGGUGGAGGCAGUCUUGAGGUGUGGAGUCAAAUUCCUCACCCUAGGCAUCCUCCUGGGUACACUUUCUACCUUAGCCUCACCCACCAGUCUCUCAAGCUCCAGGGCCUCAAAUCUGUUAUGUAAGGGCACCUGGGAAGGUGGGGUUGGUAGGGUUGGUAUGGGGGGGGGGGGGGGGGGGGGGGGGGGGGGGGGGAGUUGGGGGAGGGCGCUGCUUGCAAAUUCGAGAACGCACCUGUCUCCAUUCCUCCUCAGCUCCCAGGUCCACUUCCUCUGCCUGACAGCAACAGGGCAGGGGGUCCGCCCCCAUUUGGGGUGUCUCACCCCGGUACCUCUCCUUCAGGCCUGUCAGGGAGUUGCUCCAUCAGUCUGUCUCCCGCUCAUACUCCCUGAUGGCCCUCAACACCUCAACAUCCCCCUUGAUCUCUGCUACCAGGCUGACCAGGUCAUCCACCUGUUCACACCUCACACAAACAGUGUCUCCACUGCCCUCAGAGGGCAGCAACAGGCUCAGGCACUCCCUGAAUCCCGAGACCUGAACUGCCACAUUUUUGAGUGGGCAGUCAGUCUCGGUGGAUGCAGACUUCCUAGGGAGAGCUCUCUGCCUGGUGUAGACCAUUGUGGCCUAGCUAGGGGAAGACAGCCAUUAGAGGAUCUGUUCUUAGGGGCGGGGGACCCUCCCUGCUCAAACUGCUGCAUCCUGCCCUGUUUGCCCAUUCUGGUCAUCAUGCUCCCUAGGGGCUGC